rnacentral:rRNA from 1 species
AACGAACGCUGGCGGCAUGCUUUACACAUGCAAGUCGAACGGUAACAGGCCGCAAGGUGCUGACGAGUGGCGAACGGGUGAGUAAUGCAUCGGAACGUGCCCAGUCGUGGGGGAUAACGCAGCGAAAGCUGCGCUAAUACCGCAUACGAUCUAUGGAUGAAAGCGGGGGACCGUAAGGCCUCGCGCGAUUGGAGCGGCCGAUGUCAGAUUAGGUAGUUGGUGGGGUAAAGGCUCACCAAGCCAACGAUCUGUAGCUGGUCUGAGAGGACGACCAGCCACACUGGGACUGAGACACGGCCCAGACUCCUACGGGAGGCAGCAGUGGGGAAUUUUGGACAAUGGGCGCAAGCCUGAUCCAGCAAUGCCGCGUGCAGGAAGAAGGCCUUCGGGUUGU